AAGAAAUUAGUUUAAUCAAAACAUCAAUUUGUCAAAUUGAAAAUAUUCAUUUAAUAUUUCUUU
rnacentral:tRNA from 1 species